UGCGGUCCCGCUGAGAGAGAGAGAGAGCGCGCGCUCGGGCUAUGUAGUGUCGUAACGCCCACUGUACCCACAAUGCAGUGUGGUUGUGACUCCUGGCUCGGAGGGAGUUGUUGUUGUUAUUAUAGUUUAUAAUACACACUGGCAGUGUCCCCCCUGGGUUUGCUGCUUAACUGAUGUGAGCGGAGUCCCGUUCAGACAGUACAUUAACUGGAAUAGGAUUGGGAAGUGAUGGUCUUGCCCACACGCAACAUGGCCGCCGGUGUGCUUCGGUCUGGCUAGUGUCGGGCGGCGGAGGAGGAAUUUGAAGUGACCGAGAGGGAAGCUCCGGUGAUCGGGUAACGGAGAGUGAGGGCUGCAGGAUAGGUACCAUGGCAACCCCGCUGGCCAAGAGGAAGUCUGACGGGAGCAAGGUGUUCACUGGCAGACCCGAGCCGAACCCGCAGCUCGUGGAGGGGGCUAUUGUCCGGAUCAAAAUGGAAAACUUUCUGUA